rnacentral:rRNA from 1 species
UGCCAGACUCCUACGGGAGGCAGCAGUGGGGAAUAUUGCACAAUGGGGGAAACCCUGAUGCAGCAACGCCGCGUGGGUGAAGGAGCGUUUCGGCGCGUAAAGCCCUGUCAGCGGGGAAGAAGAAAGACGGUACCCGACCAAGAAGCCCCGGCUAACUACGUGCCAGCAGCCGCGGUAAUACGUAGGGGGCAAGCGUUAUCCGGAUUUACUGGGUGUAAAGGGAGCGUAGACGGCUAAUCAAGUCAGAAGUGAAAACCCAGGGCUCAACCUUGGGAGUGCUUUUGAAACUGAGUAGCUAGAGUGCAGGAGAGGUAAGCGGAAUUCCUAGUGUAGCGGUGAAAUGCGUAGAUAUUAGGAGGAACACCAGUGGCGAAGGCGGCUUACUGGACUGUAACUGACGUUGAGGCUCGAAAGCGUGGGGAGCAAACAGGAUUAGAUACCCCAGUACAA